rnacentral:rRNA from 1 species
AUUGAACGCUGGCGGCAGGCUUAACACAUGCAAGUCGAGCGGGGGAAGGUAGCUUGCUACCGGACCUAGCGGCGGACGGGUGAGUAAUGCUUAGGAAUCUGCCUAUUAGUGGGGGACAACAUCUCGAAAGGGAUGCUAAUACCGCAUACGUCCUACGGGAGAAAGCAGGGGAUCUUCGGACCUUGCGCUAAUAGAUGAGCCUAAGUCGGAUUAGCUAGUUGGUGGGGUAAAGGCCUACCAAGGCGACGAUCUGUAGCGGGUCUGAGAGGAUGUUCCGGCAAACUGGGACUGAGACACGGCCCAGACUCCUACGGGAGGCAGCAGUGGGGAAUAUUGGACAAUGGGGGGAACCCUGAUCCAGCCAUGCCGCGUGUGUGAAGAAGGCCUUAUGGUUGUAAAGCACUUUAAGCGAGGAGGAGGCUACUUUAGUUAAUACCUAGAGAUAGUGGACGUUACUCGCAGAAUAAGCACCGGCUAACUCUGUGCCAGCAGCCGCCGUAA